AGUGAACGCUGGCGGUAGGCCUAACACAUGCAAGUCGAACGGCAGCACAGUAAGAGCUUGCUCUUACGGGUGGCGAGUGGCGGACGGGUGAGGAAUACAUCGGAAUCUACUUUUUCGUGGGGGAUAACGUAGGGAAACUUACGCUAAUACCGCAUACGACCUACGGGUGAAAGCAGGGGAUCUUCGGACCUUGCGCGAUUGAAUGAGCCGAUGUCGGAUUAGCUAGUUGGCGGGGUAAAGGCCCACCAAGGCGACGAUCCGUAGCUGGUCUGAGAGGAUGAUCAGCCACACGGGAAAUGAGACACGGUCCAGACCCCUACGGGAGGCAGCAGUGGGGAAUAUGGGACAAUGGGCGCAAGCCUGAUCCAGCCAUACCGCGUGGGUGAAGAAGGCCUUCGGGUUGUAAAGCCCUUUUGUUGGGAAAAAAAAGCAGCAGGUUAAUACCCCGCUGUUCUGACGGUACCCAAAAAAUAAGCACCGGCUAACUUCGU
rnacentral:rRNA from 1 species